rnacentral:lncRNA from 1 species
AUGUUUGGGCCUCCUUCAAGCCUCACCCCAAGGUGCCCCACAUAAGGCCUGUCUAUGGUGAGGUUGCCGAGAGUAAACACGGCGUUCUAUACAGAGUGGACUGGCAGGGGCUGAGCCGGCACCAGAACACAAGGCAUCUUUCUCUUUAAGCCACUCCAUCCUGAGAGUGACAGGUGAACUGCAGGUCAGAAGGAAGGAGGAGGGAGAGUGAGACAGAAAGAAGCAGGACUGCAGCCUCAAAGGGAGAGGCAGAGGAGGAACCUGAGACAGAACAUGUCCAAAGUUACACAUGCGGUACACAAUAGAGCGGGAAUCUGAACCAGGUAGUCUGCUUCUGACUCUGCAUUAUCUCAGUUAUGGUGGCACAGAACUUAAACUGACAGGAUUCAGAAAGACCUUCAAGGCCUCAGUGUCUCAAGGUCACUGUUAAAACAUCUGCGAGCAGUGAAAACAGCUUCACUUUUAAAGGCUCAUGUUUCCAGGAACACAGCCCAGUCUCUUGGUGUGGAUGGAGGUGCUUCUCCUCUGGGUAGACACUUCGAAAGAGCUUCAUGGAAGUUAAAGGGAAGAAUUAAGGAAAAGAGGAGAAAAAGCUGCCGGAGACUUUCCUGUGACUCGCUGCUAAUAAAGUUGAUUAGACUGACAAGUCUCUCCAGUUUUAUUACUGACAGCUUGUGUCCUCAUUUUGAUUUAUCACCACCACACCUACCUGAGUCAGGAGUGGAGAUUAGCCCAAAUUAAAGCUUGGGUGACUCAGG